GACGAACGCUGGCGGCGUGCUUAACACAUGCAAGUCGAACGGAAAGGCCCUGCUUUUGUGGGGUGCUCGAGUGGCGAACGGGUGAGUAACACGUGAGUAACCUGCCCUUGACUUUGGGAUAACUUCAGGAAACUGGGGCUAAUACCGGAUAGGAGCUCCUGCUGCAUGGUGGGGGUUGGAAAGUUUCGGCGGUUGGGGAUGGACUCGCGGCUUAUCAGCUUGUUGGUGGGGUAGUGGCUUACCAAGGCUUUGACGGGUAGCCGGCCUGAGAGGGUGACCGACCACAUUGGGACUGAGAUACGGCCCAGACUCCUACGGGAGGCAGCAGUGGGGAAUAUUGCACAAUGGGCGGAAGCCCGAUGCAGCAACGCCGCGUGCGGGAUGACGGCCUUCGGGUUGUAAACCGCUUUCGCCUGUGACGAAGCGUGAGUGACGGUAAUGGGUAAAGAAGCACCGGCUAACUACGUG
rnacentral:rRNA from 1 species